rnacentral:sRNA from 1 species
AUUCCGGAAGUUGCUCUCAGAGGCAGCGUGCUGGUGUGCUCCUUGUGAAAUUCCACCAUGGCGUACCGUGGCCAGGGCCAGAAAGUGCAGAAGGUUAUGGUGCAGCCCAUCGUAUCCUACGCAGGAUGUCAGAACUAGGAGGUUCGGGCCAGAAUACGGGGUGCGAAGGCGCAGGCUGAGAGCAGGCCUGGGAUGGCGGAGUACGAAUCCACAUCCCAUGAGCCCCCGGGGCUACCAAGGCUGGAAGAAAGCGCGGGUAGUUGAAGAACCGUGAUGGUGGGGAGGUGGUCUUGGGUGGACCCCUGCAGUGGGGAAUGCAGGAAUGGACGCAGCGAAAGGAGGGAAGAAAACUUUAGGUGCGGAGUGAAAACGGGAGUUAAUUAACGGUUUUGAGAAACUCCAGGGGAAUGAAAGUGGAAGGGAUGUUCUUUAGUCUUUAGAAGACCCCUAACGAAUGCCCAGCUGGGCACUUGUUGUUUGCGUAAGCACCAGACCUCGCGUUUAGUAAACAAAGGUGAGACGGGAAUAGGGUCGUCCAGUUGUUUCAGGAAGCAGAGUCUAUGCUGCUUUUGUAUUUUUUCCUUAGCCACUGUGGUGCAGAACCUCAUCUUCAGAUACUUACAAAAUAGAUCGCGGAUUCAGGUGUGGCUCUAUGAGCAAGUGAAUAUGCGGAUAGAAGGCUGUAUCAUUGGUUUUGAUGAGUAUAUGAACCUUGUAUUAGAUGAUGCAGAAGAGAUUCAUUCUAAAACAAAGUCAAGAAAACAACUGGGUCGGAUCAUGCUAAAAGGAGAUAAUAUUACUCUGCUACAAAGUGUCUCCAACUAGAAAUGAUCAAUGAAGUGAGAAAUUGUUGAGAAGGAUACAGUUUGUUUUUAGAUGUCCUUUGUCCAAUAUGAACAUUUAUUCAUAUUGUUUUGAUUACCCUUAUGUUAUUACAAGAUGGCAAUAAAUACUGUGGGAUUGUUUGUAUUAAA